UCCAGCCAUAAUGAAUAGCAGGCUUUCAAAAAAAUAAAAACGUUUUCUCUGCUACUCUUUCUUCCAGAAAACUCUUCACUUCCUUCAAUCCGGAGGUUUUGGCCAGAGGUUUCCUACCGCUCUCUGAACCAUUUCAGGGGCUCCCUUCUCCAGGUAAAAGCAUUCUCUUCUUCUCAGGGCCUCCUUUGCUAUAGUAUGCGCAUAGAUGUUUUUCGCCUUUGGGAUGAAAAUGAACUCAAUCUCCUGAAAACUAUUUCUAUGGAUCUGAAUAUCUCUGAUUAUUGCUCUAAUGACCGAUUUGUCUAUAUUAGUGCUUUGACAUUUCUUGAUAAAGGUUUUCGAAUCCCCCAUAACUUCUAUUUUGUUGACUCCCAGUCUAAUCCCUAGUUUUAUUGCCUGUAAUCCUGCAUAUGCCUUUGCUGUAAAUGGAUUUGCAAUGUUGGAAUGAGUAACUGCUUGUGUUGCAAGCAUUUCCCCUUCCUCGUUCCAUGCUAUUAAUCCUGAUGCCGAUCUGAAAUCCUGGCGGUCGAAGGCUGCAUCAAAAUGAACUAUGGUCCUUCCCCUUUUGGGUACCUAUUGAGUAUUCUCAUGAGAAUAAAGAGUAAGUUUUCCUUCCUUUGUAACUGCAAGUUCUGUAAUAUAAUCUCUGAUCCUCCUAACAAUUUCUGAUCCUGACAUGUUUUUCCUUUCAUAUACGAGUUGGUUUCUACUGAACCAUAUGAACCAGAGGCUACAACAGAAGAUUCGAAGUUGUUCAGCAUUUCCUUUAUCAAAGACCCAUGGCACUGUUGGAAGAUAUGGCUGCUAUUCUCUUCAUCACAUCCGCAUCUAGGACAUUGAGAAUUCCUAACGACCCUUUUGAUUUUGAGGUUGAUAAAAGAUGGGAUAAAAUUCCAAGAGAUCCUCCAUACUGUCAUUUGAAUCUUUGAGGGAAUAUGUAAUUUCCAUAAUUUAUUAUAGAAAUUUUUUGUCUCGGUAUGUAACAUUAAGCCAUUAGGAUCAAGUUUAGGCUCAUGUAAUAGUUUAUAGGCACUCCUUACGGAGAACUCCCCUAUCGGUUCUCCUCUCCAUACUUGAAAGUCCUCUUGUACUGUCUCCGCCAGUGGGAUCUGCAAAAUUUUCUUCGCUAUGACCGGUUGGAAGGUAUUUCUUAUCAACUCCAUUUUCCAACUCCUACUAUUUGAAUCAAUUAAAUUAGAGACUAAUUUAAUAUUAUCAUUUCCAUCUUGAAUCGAUAUUCUAUCUACUUCGUUCCCUGGUAUCCACGAAUCAUUCCAAAUGGAAAUUUGAUCACCUCUCCCCACCCUCCAGCAACGUCCUCUUUCAAGGAGUCCUCUCGCAGCCCAAAUACUUUUCCAGGUAAAUGAAGGGUCUCUUCUUCUUCAUCAUCAAGGGAUAGUCCAGCAAAUUCUGACUCCAUAGACGCAGGACAAUAUGCCAAUAAAGGGUAAAAAGCUCUUCAAAUCUCUAAAUCAAAUUAAAUGCC